rnacentral:misc_RNA from 1 species
GAAUGAUAAGUUCUACUGUUAGUUCAUAGAUAAUCUUAUCCUUGUUAAUAGAUUAAUAAAUUGAACUCAGAAACAUGAAACUUAGUGGAAACUGAAAAGCAAAAAUUGUUGCAAAAACAAAGUAAACAAUGAAAUGACGUAAAAUUGAAGGAGUGCAAUGGUAUAACCUAACUUGGAUGAAAAAUGAAGACUUUAAUGCUCUAUAAACACCCAGCGGCAAAGGCACUAACACAGCAUUACAAAGAGCACUUUCAUAAAAGUGUUCACUAUUUAUACAAGUAAUUUCAUUAGAAAACAAAAGCUAAUUAACAUUGUUAUAAGACUCAAGUGGUUGUAGGAAGAGUGUGGAAUCUUUAGGCUUUUCGCCUUAUUGCAACUUUCUUUUUCACUUGUUUCAAGGUAACCUGUUUCAAGAAGAAUAGCUUUCUAUCCACCCUUUCAGGCUCUCUUUUUAUAGGGAGAUAUGAAAGAAACUACAAAAGGAUCACAAUACAAAAGUGAAGCAAAAAAAGAAAAAAGAAAAAAAAGAAAAAGUUGCCCAUCAUCAGGCAUAGAAAAUUUCACCACCUCAAGCAGUUGGAACUGAGAACAUGCAAAUUACCAAAGCAAAAUAACGCACAAAUACUAGGCAAAUUCCAAAAAUCUACUGGUCCCAUCCAAAGUUGCAUUCACAGUGGUAUGAUAAAGCUAAUGAACUUCAUUUUGAGGACUGCCAACCUCUCCCACCUGCAAAACGACCACGACCUCGAUGACGAUAUGGUUUCCUUCCUCGGCUUGGAGAGGCACCCAAAUUAAAUCGCUGAACGUUUUCGGGAAUAACACCAGGUGGUUCAAUGUGCAGUCCACUGGACAUCAUUCCUUGGCCUUCCACAUUCAUGGUACUCAUAGUUGGGUGAGCAGGUUGAACCUGGAAGCCCAUCCCAAAUGCUGCUCCAUUAAAGCAAUUUUCACCAAUAACCCCAGGCCAAGGUGAAGGUCCAGCAUAAAUAUUCAUCUGUCCACCUGGUACUACACCACUAGGAAGUGACCCUUGACUAGGAUUGAACUGUUGCAGAAAUGGCAUCUGACAGGGAUGCAGUUGUUGAUUCUGUGCAGGCCAUGAUACAUUAUUAGCUGGAAAUCCAACAGGAAUGACUGCAUUCUGUGACUGCUGAGAAGGCAGCCCAUUUACCCAGACUCCAUCUGAAGGUCGGAAAACACCAGAUGGUGUUGCCAUUGGUGAAAAUGGUGGACAAAAGCCACUUCCACUACGAAAAUCCUGUCCUUUGGUAGAAGAUGAAAUAUUAUUCAUUGAUGCUCCUAUAGAAGAUUUAUUAUGCUGGUUCUGAUUUGGAGGUGACUGACCCACACCCACCAACGCUUGCUGCCCUGAAGGUGUAUUAUUCUUCCAAUUGCCAUUCCUAUUGUUAACUUUCUUCCUAUUGUUUUUCUUGUUUCCAACUGUCUGAUUAUUCAGGCCCCUCUUUGACAUUCUUUGCAUUCUCCUAUACUCUGCCUCUUUCUCAUCAUCUGAGAACUCUCCAUCAUCUGACAACUCUUCAUCAUUCUCGCCAGAUGCAUCAUACCCUUUCUUGUAAAGAUUCUUAUCACUAAGCACAUGACUAGCAAACUCAGAAACAAAAGAAAUCAAGGUUCCUUGACAGAUGCCAGCAGGGACUUCACUUUCAGAAUUGUAUCUCACCACAUAGAAGGGGUGUUGAACAGGACCAAAUAUCUCAUCUACGAUCCCCAAAGGAGAUCUAUUUUCAGUUAUCCAAAGGAUUGAACCCUCAUUAAGAGGGUUGUGCUUCUCCACCCCUUCCACAAUGACUUGGGCACUUAUAAUCGACAAAACAGCUCCAACGGGCUGCAUCUGAUGAUGCGGUUGCAAUGUGACAUCCAAAGGAGGAACUGGAGGGAGAACCUUAAGCUCAUUCUUCGACCUAAUAGGCCCUCUCAAAACAACAGUAUCCCCUUCCUCUUCCUCAUCAAUAUCAUCAAAUUCAACAUCACUCCAUUCAACCAUCUUGCCUCCAUCCUCCUCUUCCUCCUCAUAAUCAUCAUUCUUACCAACCAUCUCCUUUCCAUUAACAUCCUUUAUCUCACCUUCUUCAAUCUCACCCUCCUCUACUUCUCUAUGCAGUUGCACUCCGAGUUUCUCCUCCUCCUCAUCCUCCUCAUCAUCAUCACUCUUCUCUCCCUCCUCUUCCUCAUCUUCAUCCUCAUUCUCCUCUUCAUCUGCCUCAUCCUCAUCACUGCUGCUGCUGCUGAUGCUGCUACCAGAAGAUGAACCACUUUCACUAGAAGAAUCGGAAUCACUUCCACUGUCAUCCUUAUCGCUCUUUACCACAUUAUUCACAUGGCUACCUGUACCAGCAUCUGUGCUUGACCCAGUGGCCAAAUAAACAUUGCCAAUAUCCACCUCAUCACUUGCUACCGCACUAUUGGCAACACUCCCGUUAGGAACAACAGAAUUCGACCCCGCAACCAAACUUACAUUUCCCAUCUCUAUUUCAUCACCCGCGGUUUUCCCAUCACCACAAAUGGGACUUGACAAACCAACCAAACUAACCCUACCCAUCUCCUCUUCAAUACAGGAAACAAAAUUCCCCUCCCUUACAAGCCCCACCCUUUCCUCAUUUACUAUCACCACGCAGCCUGACCCACUUUCAAUAGGCCUCAACUCUUCAAAACUUGGAUUAGAAUGUGUUUCACUAGAAAAGCCAUUAUCACCCAUCUUCCCAAAAUCAAUCUUACCUAAACUAACAAUAUCUGUAUCUGGGCUAUCUUCAAAAAACUCCUUUAUGGAGUCAAAAUCGAUAAACGAAUCAGUAAAAGAAAAAUCAGCCAAUUUCGCAUUUUCAAGUGGGUCCUUCAAGUUUUUGGACUUUGAAGCUCGGCUGUUGUGGUCGUCUUCAACGAUGGUGGGUUCGGGUAUGCACCCAACCAUCUCUGAGAAAAGAAAGAUUGGAGCUUUGAAGGUUAAUAUAUAGGUUGCAGAGGGAGAAAUUAAAUUUCAUAGCUGCAAAAAAGAGAAAGGGAAAGGAAAAUAUAUAUAUAUACACAUAUACACGGUUGUUUCCUUUUAGAAUGUUUUGCUUCUUAAACCCUAGCUUUGGCGGCUUUAUAAAAAC